rnacentral:rRNA from 1 species
GACGAACGCUGGCGGCGUGCUUAACACAUGCAAGUCGAACGGAAAGGCCCUGCUUUUGUGUGGUGCUCGAGUGGCGAACGGGUGAGUAACACGUGAGUAACCUGCCCUUGACUUUGGGAUAACUUCAGGAAACUGGGGCUAAUACCGGAUAGGAGCUCCUGCUGCAUGGUGGGGGUUGGAAAGUUUCGGCGGUUGGGGAUGGACUCGCGGCUUAUCAGCUUGUUGGUGGGGGAGUGGCUUACCCAGGCUUUGACGGGUAGGCGGCCUGAGAGGGUGAACGGGCACAUUGGUACUGCGAGAGGGCGCAGACGCGUACGGGAGGCAGCAGUGGGGAGUAUUGCACAAUGAGCGGAAGUCUGAGGCAGAAACGCCGCGUGCGGGAUGACGGCCUUCUGGUUGUAAACCGCUUUCGCCUGUGACGAAGCGUGAUUGACGGUAAUGGGUAAAGAAGCACCGGCUAACUACGUG